GUCUCAGUCAACAAGCACACUGAAUUGUGCUCUGAUCUGCAGUAGGCACAGACUGAUCUUGGGCGGCAAGGUGUUCUCAGAGGGACCCUCCGCUUUGGAAACUGCUUCUCUCCUUGGUGGGUCACAGCCUGGAUUUGAUAAUCUUCAAGGCAUGCUUUCAACUGGAAACCACAUAUCUAGACGGAUACAUCACUGAGCCUGCACCUUAAACUCAGAUAGUUCUCUACAGUACCACGAGGGUUGCUGGGCCAGACCAUCGGAGGUCCCAUUACAAAAGCUGCAAGAGAGUCAGAAAAAGGAGACGAAUGCAGCCAAAAUCCUUGCCAUCAGCCAGGGCCUGCCUGGGUCAGCCUGUAUCAGACCCCAAUGGAUCUCGGAGUUAUGUGGGGUACACAUUGCCUUGGAGCCCACCUUUGCACAACCCUUCAGCAAUGUCUUCGGCUCCCAAGAACUGGCCACAGGGCUUGGCUCUGCUACCUUUCCCUACAGGCACUGCUCCCCCAGGUGAUGAAUUCCUCUCCACAGAUGACUUUUUAUAAGGUCACUAGCAUAGUUCAAAAGCGUGCCAUUUGGCUAAACGAAGAAGCCAAAUCCAUGUGGCUGUACGAAGAGCUGUGGUUCCAGGAUGAUACUUUAUAAACCCAUAAAGUGAGAACGGGUUUGAAAUAUUUCCUGCAUCCCCUCCUGUCCCUAAUCUCUCUGCAGAGAAUAGCCGUGUGUGUUAAUAUUUGAACCAAACCAUCACUCACAUGACACCAAGCUCCAGAGAGGCUUAAAGGUGUUGGAUGCCUGAUUCAUUUCACUUUUCACACUUAGUAUUUUGAGAAGUUGGCAAAUUAAUGUUGGCAUGAGUUUAAACUACGUGUGGACGUGUCAAUUAUUUCCCAGCAUCCUCACAGCAUCUUAGCACUAACUGGGGCUUGCGUGGGCAGCCUCUGCUGAAGGACCCAAUGGGUUACGGAGAUGAGCUCCUCUUUGAAGCUCUCCCGGAGGUCAGUGAAACCAACUGGCAGUGCAGUGUGGGGUUCAGGCCUGGGUUGGCACUGCCCAUGCUCCUCCUGACCAAUGGCUAAAUGACAGAUGCCAAUCUCCUGUCAAAUCGGAGCUGAAGCCAUUUUUAAAAUGUAAUUUUAAAACAAUACUCCUUGGGGUUAACGACUUUCUCCCAGACAAUUAGCAAGUAUGCCAAAGCUGAAGAACAUCCUCAGCCUGUGCUUUGUUACUCUGCCAAGGUAAACACUGACAUUUUCUUCCCCGAAGCAGCUUAGAGAGCAAGAACAAUUCCAGGCAGUAACAAGACUCCUUAAAGGCACAAGAGACAGAGGCUCACUGUUUGCCUUUAAAGGCAAAAUUUGGUGAAUACACUGGAAGGGCUGAUCCUACGUCCUAUGAAACUUUGGUCUGGAGCAGAGUUGACUCAUCACGAAAAAGUCUUUAUUUUCCCAGUUACAUCUUGUAACUUACAAUUAAUCUCCUUUAAUGCUAGUUAUUUGUUCUUUGAAGGAGACAUUAAAACCCAGGUUUUGACUCACUACGUCUGCUGGGAGUUAAAGAGCCCAUGGCACUGUCAGAUAAUGCCAUGUAUCCUCUCAAAUAAAAAAAAAUUCUCCCAUGCUGUGGACAAAAUAUUGCUUAGCAUGUAAUAGCUGCUGCAUUUGCCUGCACAGACACCAUGCUAUUGGCAAUCAACUCAUUACUGGGUAAGAUGCUUUGAGAUGCUCAGAGUCUGAAAGAGUUUCCUUAAAUCCAAACUCCAGUCUCAUAAAAAAAUCUAUUGCCAUUGUAUAUUUAAUUCCUGUUCGUCUUCCAUUAAACAGAUUUCUAUUUUUAUUUCAAAUAACCCCCUCUCUGCAAAAAGAAACUAAAAAAGACUUGCAGCUCACGUUCAGACUUUAUUUCCAAAAAUUAAAUAAAUGGGAUUAAAUAAACCCAGCAAACAAAGGGGUAAACAUUCUCCAGGUUAAAAGACAGCAAAGUCACUGGGAGAUGAGAGUCAAAUGCUGAUGCUAAAACCUCUUCACAGUGAAGAAUAUUGGCGAAACUGCACCAUGAGCUUGGAGAAGCUGCACCAUAAACCAGUUAUCUCAGCAUUGCUAGGUCAUCUCAAGGACCAAUUUCUUUUGGACCUCUGGGAUCUGCUGCCUCUCUAACCCAGUCCCCAUUUUUGUAUCUCCUUCCUCAUUACCCCCUGGGCUCUGCACUCCAUGGGUCAGGUGAUUCAGGAAGAAAGCAAGUCACUGGUGUAACAAGGUCUUACUAAGGACAAAUUCAGACUGUAUGUAAAUAGGCACAGUUCCCCCUUGGCUAAACUCAGCAGUGGUAAUGUAAGAGGCACAACAGCUGAAGGUGGCACGGGGUGUAAGCAUGCGCCAAUCUGAUUUCGGUGAUUGUAGAACACAAGCCUGGCUUAUGCAGUGAGGGGAGAAAGAGGGCAUGUAACAAAAAGGAGGCGUGGAGGAGAUAAAACUUGUGGGGGGAGAGAGGAAGACUGCUUGAUAUCACCCCCACCUGCUGGCUCCUUUUUCUCUUUCCUGCUUCCCACACCAUUCCUAUCACUUGACACAAAACAUUACAUGCAUUUGCGCCCCCACCAAAUACCAGAGAGAUUGGUGCUAGUUACCCUUCCUGACUGUUCAUGCCCACUUACUCUGGGGUCAGAUUCUGAUCUCAGCUAUGCCAACACCACUCCACUGGCUUUGGUGGGCUGGCAAUGCAAUGGUGGCCACUUAGAUGAGAAUCUGGCUCGUGACAUGUGACAUACAUUCCCACAUUCAUCAUCACCGAGUUUGGCUCUGUAGGUCAGCCGCACAGGUAGUACCCCAUUCUCAGCGACAGCUGUUUAUUGACAUUGACUCACCUGUAAUAUACUGUACACAAUGUUUCGGAGGCUCGCACCUGGCCGGUCAUCUGCUUUGAAAUGCUGACCACAAGCUGACUAUGUAUGGACGUUACUCAAGAGAUGGUGCAAACCUCUCUUGUAAACAAAAAAAUGUUUAUUUUCCUCACAAGAAGCACAUGUAAUGUACAGUACACUUUUACCAACAAAAGUAAAAAAAAGUGCAUUAUGCAUCCCCUACUGCAAAUGUACAGUACAAAAGAUACUGCAUAUUUAAAUAUAAAAACCAGAAUUAAGAAAUACAAUGAAAUAAAAAGAACACUGUUAUCAUAAGAGUACAGCAAUGCACUGAAACAGCUACUGGUUAUUCAUGUCCGCAGGUUAUCUAACAAGGGUGGUAACUAUCCACGAGCCUUGGGUCAACUCUGAGGCGAGGAGAGCAGCCCAAUGUCUGCGACAUGAAAAGGAAUAUUAUUUAGUUAAAGAACACAUUGAGAAAUGGUGACCGAAACGGUGCUAUUUCUAAAACAUGGAACAAAAAAAGCAUACGCUGGAAAUAAGGUGCCAGUUUGUGCAUUUCAGAUUUGAUGUUGGAGUGUUCCUUGGCUUAGAUCAUGCCUGUAACUCUUCCAAGCGUAACGAUGGCCUUCCAUCUUUGGAAUGUCUUGUCAAGCCCUCCCUUGCCUGCACUGUCUGCAGCAAUGCAGAGAUAAAUCAUAAGCGGUGGGGUCAGGACAACAGAAGCUGGAAUCUAUGUGGGAUCCAUUUACAAAGCCCAUCGUUUUACCCAUACACGCAGCAAAGGAAAACUGGUUAGCAGUUCUGAGAUCAGGGACCAUGAGGGUUAUACAGGACUCAUACAUGCAAAUAGUAAUGGUCUUACUUACACUGAAACAUCAAAGCACCAAGACAAAACAGCAAAACAGCAGCGUUUACCAGCUCAGCAUAAAUACACAGUAUUUGUAAACUAUUAUUAAGGCACUCAAUUGUAAAAGAACAAUUACAAUACAUAGGAGAGAAAGAAAACAACUAUCUUUUCAUGCAUCGAAACUAACAACCCUGCAAGCACUGCAUCUUUUGGCUACAAAAACUUUGAAUUGGCAUGCUAGAGCCUCUACGCAUACAUUGACUUAAAAAAAUUUAAAAAUAAACUACAUGUAUCGACAGUAUUGUGUUGCACUAAGCAGCAAUGGAUCUUCAAGUUUGAUAAGCUACAUUGUGUGUGUGGUGACACAGUUAUGUUCCACAGAAUAACGGAGUCUGUGUGAUUUUUUCCCCCAAUCACGAUAUGGGCAUUGUAGUCAACUGAAAACUAAACUACCAAAGCAGUAGUUUGUAUGUAGCAGAGUUUGGCAGGUCAUAGAAGAAGAAAACAGGAAGGAAAUACGUUUGUUCACUUGUAUUGUUAAAACAACUUGGAAAUUUUCGGAAGUUCUUCAAGUCUAAGCACCUGUUAAGCUUCUAUCUUAGUACAAGGUACAAUGGGUUGGCCAACAAAUGUCAAAUUGGGCGUACAUGGCAAUGACUUUGUGAACAAAGGCAAUGUGUAUUAAUAUACUGCAGUGUCUUACUGCCUGGGGUUGGUUCCCUACUGGCAGUUAGUGCUAUGAGGAGUGCACGUCCCCACACCAAGCAAAUAGAUGGAAUCACAGCUCAUUGGCAGUGGGGAUGGGAACAACAGGUGGUAAGGCAUCUUCAAAAGGCAGCAGCCCACUCACAGGUGCAAAACCACCCGCAGAAACAAAAUUAAAUGGCCACAUCUGUGGGUUUCACUCCUUCCAUUCUUGGAAACAGGCAAUUACAUGGGAUUUUCAGAAGCACUCAUCAUUGGCCUGCCUCUACGCCCAUUGAAAUCAACAGUUAAGACUCCCAUUGACUUCAGUGGGAGCAGUUAGACCAGAGAUCAGCACUUUUAACAAUCUUCAUCUAACCUAGCCCAUGUGUUGUAUGCACACAUGUGUGAUCUGCACACACAACUGGGAGAAUUACAAAUAUUACCAUUCUCUCUUCUUUUUGCAUGCAAAAUUUGGACCUAAGUGACCAUCUCUCCACAGAAGCACAAGAUCUUACUUAAUAACACUAUACAGUCCCCUAGCCAUGAGAGGUUAACUAUCUGCUUUAUCCUACAGUAACACUAUUAGGGAUCCUUUAGGGUUGUCUGGAUAAAGAGGGCUAGCAAAAAUCCAUGGGAAAAUAGAAAUUAAAUAAAAUAACUAGGUCAAAUUCUGCCUUGCAGCUCCAGCUUCAAUGGAAUAGUACGGAUGUAAAAAAGGGCAGCCUUUGUCCAACGGUGUCAGAUGGGAAAGGGCCUCUCCCUGUCAGUGUGAACAGGUGCACAGAUUUGCAGACAGGGAGAAUCUGAACAACUGUGCAACUGGCUAUGACCACUGUGACUUUAUACUAGCUGUUGUGCUGCACUCAAGCCUUGAGCACAAUGUUGUGGUUUGGAUGGAGCUGGUGAACAGAUUAACAGCUUUCAAAAAUAUCUUCGCUGAUAAUUUCAGCAUGGGCUAAUAGGCUCUGAAGAAACCCUAUCCGGCCAUGCAGGAAUCAAACACGCAGUGCAAUGGCUUUACCCAUGCUCACUACCACCCCUCCUCCCCAAUCCAUCUUUUACAAAUAAAACCUAAGUAAGAACAACUAAAAGACAAGUAAUAAAAAUAUUUGGAAUACGCUACAGUAGAUAUGGACCUGGAAACGCACCCAUGAUGCUUUGACAUUAGGCACAUCAUAACAACAUUAAUAUUUUAGAUAUACCACCACACCCCAGAUACAGCUAAACUGAAAUGUCACAACUGGGGAGGGAAGGGGGGCAUGUGUCAGUGAAUUCACAGUGUAUUGAAGUGAUCUAGUCAGUAUUGAUUUCCAAGACGCACCAAAGGGUGGGUUCAGUGAAAAGAACCACACCAAGAACCAAUGACAAUCACAGCAUCAAAAGAAGUGUCCAUGCUAAAUCCACUUCUGAAGGUUUAUAGCCAGACAAUAACACAAACAUUGCAGCUAAGGGAAGGUCCAACUCUAGCAAUGACAUCGGUUUCCCAACACUAGAAAACGUGGAUUACAAAAUGUUUCACGUCCUCCGAGAUAUUGCCAUUGUCUGCCUUGCUUGAGAAGCUUUUGCUUCUUUCACACAUGAAAUGGCAAAUUUGCCAUAUGCUCAAGAUGUAUAUACAUUUUUGACCCCUCUAUCUAAGGAAGAAUAUUUAUCUACUGCUUCCCAGCCCAUAUUUCUCCUGCUUUUAGUACAAAAUUGGGGGAGUUACUUUAAAAAAAAAAAAGGAAUCCCGGGUAUUCUAAACGGUGGAAACCAAGGGACAUUCCCAAAUGGGUAGGCAAACAUUUUAAAUGGCAGGUUGUAGGAUUUGCUGUUCAAAGUUGCACUCUUCACUUUCCAUCCCCAUCUGAAAGGCUUUAUCCAACAACGGCUCUGCAAACGUAGAUGUUUAAAAACAGGUCAGACUCACAUGGACCUGGUUGUUAAAACCACGGAGCGCAACAAAUCCAUCAUUUGUCGUCACUAAGCUUUAAAUUUCACUGUGACACCAAAGUUAGUCUAACACAUGGAAUUCAGGCAUUUUUGAAAAUUUAGGAGCCUAAGUUCCAUUUUCAAAAGUGCUUAAGUCACUUAAGUCUAAAUCCAACUGAUACGCAAUGGAACUCAGACUCCUCAGUGACUGAGGCACUUUUGAAAAUUAUAUCCUUCAUUUGGCAAAAAGGUAUCUCCCAGAGUUUUGGAGGUUUUUUUAAACGUGCUUCUUCUAGCAGGCUGGCAAUGCAUUCUACCACAAUAUGUUACACACCCCAGAGGCGAAGGGCCUCCUUUGACACAUGUUGCACCUGGCAGGGGCGGGAGGGCAAUGGUACUACAAUAUUUAUCUGAAAUUGUUCUGUACUAAACGGUCACUGGGUGUGAAGACAGUGACCCACAAAUGAAUAUGGGGCUGGUUACCCAUGAUGCUGUGAAUGCCAUGUCACUGCCCCUUUGUUGAGGGACAGCAUUUUAGGGCUAAACUGGGUUAUCUGUGUGUCCAACCGGCCUGUCUCGGGAAGUGGCUCAAGCAGAUUUCUUAUCAUCUCAUUCACUCAUUUUGAUCAACCCCAUUUUUACUUGAAUUCUGUUUUAUCAUCAAGGGCUGAAUCCUGAGGUCUGUGCCCAAGAUUUUCCGCAACAGACUCCCACUUGCCUGAAUGAGAACUAGUGGAAAUGGAGUGUUUCUGAACUGGCCAUAAACCUCCGACAGAAACUAGUACAAAACAGCUGAUGAAAAAAAGAACGGACUACAGCCAAGGGCUCUGCUCUAGGAGGUAAUCCUGCACAACUGAAGCCACUGACUUCAGAGGCUAUAGGACUGAGCCCUAAAUACCUUAUUGUAUCAGAAAUCUAGCUAGCAGUACCAUGUAGAAGACUUAAUGGUUGUUUAACACUGUGAAAACUAAUCUAGCUCUCCACUUUUCCUUCCUUUCUGUGAUAGUGCAAUAUUCCAUUUAGGCUAGGCUAGUAAAACUACUGCCUCCUCCUUGCACUGGCCUCAAACUCUGCCCUUGGAUGGGUGUGUAAGAUCAGUGAAGCCCAGAGGAGCACCACAUGUUCAUCCGAGAGCAGAAUGUGCACUUCUAUUGUCAUCAGGAGGAGACCAUCACUGAAAUUAACCUGUGCAUCCCAGACAAUAUGUACUAUAAACAAACAAGAGCAGGAAUACUCAUCCUCCCCCACUGCUUCUGGAUGAUGAAAUAAUAAACCCUUUGGAUGUUACUCAAUGUGGGGACUUGUAAACAGCUUCAGAGCUCAGGGACAACCAGAUACCUUCCUGAGAUAACCUGCUGCUGCUUUGCAUUUCUGCUGCAAACUCCAGGAUGCGAGAAAUGUUCUACCAAAAAUAAACUAACUUAUCAUCUUCCCAGGUUUCAAAUGUACAGAAUGACAAUAAAGCCAACCGUCUGCCCUCUGUAGCAGGAGACAGGUCAGUCAUCUUCUCAUCUGCAAUGCAUGCCAUCAACAGUCUGAUAAAGCAGGGCUUCCAAAACACAAGUGCUACACCACUGACUCCAGCAUCACACACAUUUCACAAUGGUUCAUGGUCACCUACUGGCCAGGCUUGUCAUUAUUACUGGGAUAACUAUAAAACCACAACAAGAGCAACAAUACCUGAAGAACAAGACAUUUCUCCACUUUUACAGAAGCCUUCAAAACACACAGCCUAGACGUCAUUUUGUUAUUAACACAAGACACUAUGACAGCUAACCCUGAUUAUACAGGAAAGAGGAACUAUCAGGUCAGCAGAUCACGCAGUCAAUAAAAAAACAGCUCUACACUUUUUCACUUGACUUCAUAGUUAGAGUUACUCAGUACAGUAAAGCCUACACCUCAACACUCUUUCGGGUCUUUACAGUUGAUGUUGUAGGAAUGCUUUCCAAAAACUUUAAAUAUCCUGGAAUAAGCCUUACAAAAAAUCAACACCGAAAUCAUCAAGAACAGAGGUAGAGUUUAUGUUGCCAUCUACAGGUUUUUCCACAAGUGGAUGUUUAAACUAGAGACUUGUGCUAUGUUCGUUUUGCGAAAUAAAAAAAUUAAAAAAUGCCAUGACUUUUGUUGAGACUUUUGAAACAAUAUUUUCAGCAUUUUUUUACAUUAUAUGUAUUGUAACAUUACUAUACUUGGCAAACAGUACUGGGAAUAUUGUCCUAUAGGAACAGUAGGCAGUUCACACACUAAGUACUCUUCCAAGCCAUGCAAUGUUUUUUUUCAUUGUGCCAUUCACCCAUGUCAGUUAUGUCCCUCUUUCUCCCCACUUACUGCACAAGGAAGGGGUAAAGACGUUGUAUCAGAUGAACUAUUGGGUUCAGGCAAUAAAUGCUGAUUAAAAAAAAAAAA